GAUGAACGCUGGCGGCGUGCUUAACACAUGCAAGUCGAACGGAAAGGCCCAAGCUUGCUUGGGUACUCGAGUGGCGAACGGGUGAGUAACACGUGGGUGAUCUGCCCUGCACUUUGGGAUAAGCCUGGGAAACUGGGUCUAAUACCGGUUAGGACCACUUCUUGGAUGUUGUGGUGGAAAGUUUUUUCGGUGUGGGAUGAGCUCGCGGCCUAUCAGCUUGUUGGUGGGGUAAUGGCCUACCAAGGCGUCGACGGGUAGCCGGCCUGAGAGGGUGUACGGCCACAUUGGGACUGAGAUACGGCCCAGACUCCUACGGGAGGCAGCAGUGGGGAAUAUUGCACAAUGGGCGCAAGCCUGAUGCAGCGACGCCGCGUGGGGGAUGACGGCCUUCGGGUUGUAAACUCCUUUCGCUAGGGACGAAGCGUUUUUGUGACGGUACCUGGAGAAGAAGCACCGGCUAACUACGUG
rnacentral:rRNA from 1 species